GGUCACCUGAACCGCCGCACGCGGCACGUCAGGGGGCUUUAACAUAGCGGUGCCAAAGACAAGAACCUAAGGCACUGCACGCUAAACGGAAGACAGAAA
rfam:Phaeobacter gallaeciensis strain JL2886, complete genome.